AUGCAGUCGACGAUUAAGCUCCCUUCGGGGAGUGCAUAAAGUGGCGCACGGGUGAGUAACACGUAAGUAAUCUACCCUCGGGUGGGGAAUAACAUCGGGAAACCGAUGCUAAUACCGCAUAAUGCAGCGGCACCGCAAGGUGACAGUUGUUAAAGAUUUAUUGCCUGGGGAGGAGCUUGCGGCAGAUUAGCUUGUUGGUAAGGUAACGGCUUACCAAGGCUACGAUCUGUAUCCGGUCUAAGAGGACGGUCGGACACACUGACACUGAAUAACGGGUCAGACUCCUACGGGAGGCAGCAGUCGGGAAUUUUGGGCAAUGGGGGAAACCCUGACCCAGCAACGCCGCGUGAAGGAUGAAGUAUUUCGGUAUGUAAACUUCGAAAGAAUAGGAAGAAUUAAUGACGGUACUAUUUAUAAGGUCCGGCUAACUACGUGCCAGCAGC
rnacentral:rRNA from 1 species